rnacentral:rRNA from 1 species
UACGGAAGGGGCGAGCGUUGUUCGGAAUCAUUGGGCGUAAAGGGCGCGUAGGUGGUCUUGUAUGUCUAUCGUGAAAGCACACGGCUCAACCGUGUAAAGUCGGUGGAAACUGCAGGACUUGAGGUUGGGAGGGGCUGGUGGAAUUCCCUGUGUAGCGGUGAAAUGCGUAGAGAUGGGGGAGAACACUUGUGGCGAAGGCGGCCAGCUGGACCAAUCCUGACACUGAGGCGCGACAGCGUGGGGAGCAAACAGG